AGCAGCUAGCAGAAUACAAGACCCUCCAAGGACUGAAAUUCAGUAUGUUAUAAAGCCUGUGAGCCAAGACCACAUCCAUCACCAUGGUGAAACUACACAUCUUCCUGAAAAUUCUACUCACCUUCAACACAGACUUCCAUUUCAGAAACCAUUCUGAGGUUUGGAUCUUCUUGACAUAAUGUGAGUUCUUUGUACUCUCUUGUUGUGGGUUCUUUUUAGUAGUUUGAUUUUCCAGGAUGCCAUUCUUAACCGUAGAAUCUGUGCCCCUUCUUUAGUUAGAAACCGGAAUAGUUUGUAAUCAAGGGCUGAUGCUAUUACACAUACGCUGCAUGUAAUUCCCAGCAAAGCAGCUGUUGGUGACACAGUGCAUUUGAUCUUCUAAUAGCUGGGCUCUAUGUCAGAUGUUAAUGUAUUACAGUAUUUUCUUCAAAAGUUCUGUGAAGUUGAUAAAAAGUUUAAUACCAACGCUGCAUUGCAAUGCUUGGUUUGACUCCCUGGAGUUGUAUCCAAAUCUGAAAGUGGACUCUUGUCAGACUUAUUCGAGAAACAGUUGUAUGUAUGUUGUCAGAAUGAUAAGAAACAGUAAAUCAUGCCUUUCCUGUAAAAAUCUCAAGUGUUAAGGACACAACUAUGGAUAGUUUAGGAGAGUAAGGCUUUGCAGAUGUGAGACAGAUUCUGUAGAAAAGUUGGUCUUACCAAAAGAGAGAUUCAUUCUAGGCUGGAUGUGGCUCUGGACAGCCUGGUCUGGUGGCUGGCAACCCUGUGCAUAGCGGGGGGGUUGAAACUCGAUGAUCGUUGUGGUCCUUUUCAACCCAGGCCAUUCUUUGAUUCUACAAUUCUAUGAUUCAUCUACAUUACCUGUGUUAUAAAAGACAAGAAUAUCAAAACAACAACAAAGCAAAUAAGCAAAAAUCACCUUUUUUUUUCCCCUGUAACAAUAGGCAAAAAAUGGUGUAUUGACUCUUUCCCUCUUUCAUUUUUUUAACCAAAAGAAUGCACUAUCUUAGAGAUCAAUCUUAGUAAAUAUAAAUGAAACAUUUUCCAUGACAUGAAAUAAACAGCAUCAUAAUUGUGUAUAAUAUAUUCUAAUUGAGAAUCUUAGUGUUUUGCAAGCAUGCAUCUUGACUUCUUAAGAGUAAUCAGGCAUUCAGAUGUUCUUGAUAUAACAUGGACAUCAAUGAAUGAAAUUGAAUCAAUCAAUUUAAGUUGACUGAAAUGAGUAGAGGAUUUUUUUCUUUUGACAGGAUAAUUGAGGCACGAAAUGCUUUCCAGGAAGCUGGACUAAAGAUUUUGAUUUUAAACCAGUAUCCAGAAUACCUAUUUGUAACCAUGACAGUCAGUCCAUUCAGCAGAUCUUCCUGUGUGCAUCUUCAGGCUUUGGACAAGCAUGGGUCUUUUCUUGCUUUGAGAACCUCAUCCUCCUUACAGAAGUGCUGACCGAGUGCAGUUCGGUGUACUCUUUACAGCAGGAGGCACUGUGACAGUUUAGGACAUUGCUCCUUAAUGUAAUUUGAAAUGAAAGAGAUCACUCUCUCCUUGUGUGUGUUCUUGUCUAUCUUAUGUCUCUGGUGUUUUUCUUUACAGACAAAAGCCAGGAAAGAAAUAAACUGAC
ensembl:lncRNA